rnacentral:rRNA from 1 species
AGAGUUUGAUCCUGGCUCAGGACGAACGCUGGCGGCGUGCUUAACACAUGCAAGUCGAACGGAAAGGCCCUUCGGGGUACUCGAGUGGCGAACGGGUGAGUAACACGUGGGUGAUCUGCCCUGCACUUUGGGAUAAGCCUGGGAGACUGGGUCUAAUACCGAAUAGGACCGCGCUCUUCAUGGGGUGUGGUGGAAAGCUUUUGCGGUGUGGGAUGGGCCCGCGGCCUAUCAGCUUGUUGGUGGGGUAAUGGCCUACCAAGGCGACGACGGGUAGCCGGCCUGAGAGGGUGACCGGCCACACUGGGACUGAGAUACGGCCCAGACUCCUACGGGAGGCAGCAGUGGGGAAUAUUGCACAAUGGGCGCAAGCCUGAUGCAGCGACGCCGCGUGAGGGAUGACGGCCUUCGGGUUGUAAACCUCUUUCAAUAGGGACGAAGCGCAAGUGACGGUACCUAUAGAAGAAGGACCGGCCAACUACGUGCCAGCAGCCGCGGUAAUACGUAGGGUCCGAGCGUUGUCCGGAAUUACUGGGCGUAAAGAGCUCGUAGGUGGUUUGUCGCGUUGUUCGUGAAAACUCACAGCUUAACUGUGGGCGUGCGGGCGAUACGGGCAGACUAGAGUACUGCAGGGGAGACUGGAAUACCUGGUGUAGCGGUGGAAUGCGCAGAUAUCAGGAGGAACACCGGUGGCGAAGGCGGGUCUCUGGGCAGUAACUGACGCUGAGGAGCGAAAGCGUGGGGAGCGAACAGGAUUAGAUACCCUGGUAGUCCAA